rnacentral:rRNA from 1 species
UGGGGAAUCUUAGACAAUGGGGGCAACCCUGAUCUAGCCAUGCCGCGUGAGUGAUGAAGGCCUUAGGGUUGUAAAGCUCUUUCAGCUGGGAAGAUAAUGACGGUACCAGCAGAAGAAGCCCCGGCUAACUCCGUGCCAGCAGCCGCGGUAAUACGGAGGGGGCUAGCGUUGUUCGGAAUUACUGGGCGUAAAGCGCACGUAGGCGGACUGGAAAGUUGGGGGUGAAAUCCCGGGGCUCAACCUCGGAACUGCCUUCAAAACUAUCAGUCUGGAGUUCGAGAGAGGUGAGUGGAAUUCCGGGUGUAGAGGUGAAAUUCGUAGAUAGUCGGAGGAACACCAGUGGCGAAGGCGGCUCACUGGCUCGAUACUGACGCUGAGGUGCGAAAGCGUGGGGAGCAAACA